GUACCAAACCAGCCCAUUCCGUUCCCGUGAGAGGAUAUAAUCAAUGCACAGCCGGAGGGGUGAUGUAUUUUCGUAGCGUAAUCACAAGUCCCAACUAAUUCAAGUGUCUGAGGACCUUGAACUCCAUUUGUAUCACAUACAAUCGACACAGCAAGUGAACAGUUGGACUUUGAACCUCUGUUAAACAGUUUAGCUGUGAUGCCUUUG
rnacentral:misc_RNA from 1 species